rnacentral:rRNA from 1 species
CGCGAAUCGCCCUUGGGGUGCACCAGGCGCGAAAACUUUACAAUGCCGGCAACGGCGAUAAGGGGACCUCGAGUGCCAGGUUACAAAUCUGGCUGUCGUGAUGCCUAAAAAGCAUUGCAUAGCAAGGGCCGGGCAAGACCGGUGCCAGCCGCCGCGGUAACACCGGCGGCUCGAGUGGUAACCGUUAUUAUUGGGUCUAAAGGGUCUGUAGCCGGCCGGAUAAGUCUCUUGGGAAAUCCAGCAGCUCAACUGUUGGGCUUUCAGGAGAUACUGUCUGGCUCGAGGCCGGGAGAGGUGAGAGGUACUUCAGGGGUAGGGGUGAAAUCUUGUAAUCCUUGAAGGACCACCAGUGGCGAAGGCGUCUCACCAGAACGGACCUGACGGCAAGGGACGAAAGCUAGGGGCACGAACCGGAUUAGAUACCCGGGUAGUCCUAGCCGUAAACGAUACUCGCUAGGUGUCGGCCACGGUGCGACCGUUGUCGGUGCCGUAGGGAAGCCGUGAAGCGAGCCACCUGGGAAGUACGGCCGCAAGGCUGAAACUUAAAGGAAUUGGCGGGGGAGCAC